ensembl:antisense
UCGUCAAGGGGUGGGCUGGCCUCAUUGCAACCUCAUCCUACCUGGCUGGCCUACAGCACUAAGUCUGGCAGGGCUCAGAGAAGGAAGCUUCCAAGUGGACUUCAUGCAUCUGAAAAGGAGCCACUCUGGGAGCCGCCUCGGAGGCAGCUCUUCUCACUACCUAGGUAACAGCGCUGUCAUCUAUGGCUCAAAGCCACUCACCAGGGAGUUGCUGCAGACCUGUAUGUAUCCUUAUACAGAGAAACAGAGAGAGGCUACUGAGGACCUAAGCCGGUGCCUCAUGGAUAAGGAAACUCCAUGGAAGUUAGAGCUGCCCUGUAAUUUGCAUCCCCCAUAUCUUAGAAACCAGAAUGAAAGGCCUACAGCAGAGACUGAAGAGAGGAAGGCUCAUCACUUGGACCACCAAAGAAAGGUCUCAAGAUCCCUCUGCUAUGGUUAAAUCUAGUCAAGCAACCCAUCCCGGUGCUACUGUGGAAUUCCUGCAAGAGGCAGGAGGCGGUUCAGAGUCAUCAAAGCCAUUUUUACAAGGUAGACAUAGGACUGGGGGAUUAAAGGCUUUCAUGGCCUCACUUGCCAACCUGCCUCCCCCCCCCCCCCCCAAGGCUCUGGGUGAGUACCUAUUAACUUCUCUCCACUCUCUAAUCCCAAAUCCAUCUCCACUUUGCAUAUCGACAUGAAAGCCAAUGGCGGUGCUGGCUAAGGUCAGACAACUCCAAGGAAAAGGCCUCAGGGGCAGGCAGAUAGGGAGCCAGGUGCUGGGAAAGGCAAUAGGAGAAACCUCAAGCUGGGCUUUAGUCUACCAGCGACUCCCUCCCCUACUGCUGCCAGUGCCUGAGGCACCAGGGCAGUUUGUAUCUUCUCAAGGUGUAUCCCCAG